rfam:Myotis brandtii contig171460, whole genome shotgun sequence.
UUGUCCUGGCCUAUGCUCUCUCUCUGCUCCCCUCUGCUCAGCUGUAACAGGGAAGUCUGGCAGGACACACAGCAACCUCCCUCUCAGUUUAGGAGGGCUUUCCUGAGUAUAGGCUGGAUCUUAAAGGCACGAGGACAAU